GACGAACGCUGGCGGCGUGCCUAAUACAUGCAAGUAGAACGCACGGUUUAUACCGUAGCUUGCUACACCAUACACUGUGAGUUGCGAACGGGUGAGUAACGCGUAGGUAACCUGCCUGGUAGCGGGGGAUAACUAUUGGAAACGAUAGCUAAUACCGCAUAAUAUUAAUUAUUGCAUGAUAAUUGAUUGAAAGAUGCAAUUGCAUCACUACCAGAUGGACCUGCGUUGUAUUAGCUAGUAGGUGAGGUAACGGCUCACCUAGGCGACGAUACAUAGCCGACCUGAGAGGGUGAUCGGCCACACUGGGACUGAGACACGGCCCAGACUCCUACGGGAGGCAGCAGUAGGGAAUCUUCGGCAAUGGACGAAAGUCUGACCGAGCAACGCCGCGUGAGUGAAGAAGGUUUUCGGAUCGUAAAGCUCUGUUGUAAGAGAAGAACGGGUGUGAGAGUAGAAAGUUCACACUGUGACGGUAUCUUACCAGAAAGGGACGGCUAACUACGUG
rnacentral:rRNA from 1 species